rnacentral:rRNA from 1 species
AGCGAACGCUGGCGGCAGGCUUAACACAUGCAAGUCGAGCGGGCACUUCGGUGUCAGCGGCGGACGGGUGAGUAACGCGUGGGAACGUGCCUUCUGGUUCGGAAUAACUCAGGGAAACUUGAGCUAAUACCGGAUACGCCCUUUUUGGGGAAAGGUUUACUGCCGGAAGAUCGGCCCGCGUCUGAUUAGCUAGUUGGUGGGGUAACGGCCUACCAAGGCGACGAUCAGUAGCUGGUCUGAGAGGAUGAUCAGCCACACUGGGACUGAGACACGGCCCAGACUCCUACGGGAGGCAGCAGUGGGGAAUAUUGGACAAUGGGCGCAAGCCUGAUCCAGCCAUGCCGCGUGAGUGAUGAAGGCCUUAGGGUUGUAAAGCUCUUUUAUCCGGGACGAUAAUGACGGUACCGGAGGAAUAAGCCCCGGCUAACUUCGUGCCAGCCGCCGCGGUAA